rnacentral:rRNA from 1 species
GAUGAACGCUGGCGGCGUGCCUAAUACAUGCAAGUCGAGCGAACGGACGAGAAGCUUGCUUCUCUGAUGUUAGCGGCGGACGGGUGAGUAACACGUGGAUAACCUACCUAUAAGACUGGGAUAACUUCGGGAAACCGGAGCUAAUACCGGAUAAUAUUUUGAACCGCAUGGUUCAAAAGUGAAAGACGGUCUUGCUGUCACUUAUAGAUGGAUCCGCGCUGCAUUAGCUAGUUGGUAAGGUAACGGCUUACCAAGGCAACGAUGCAUAGCCGACCUGAGAGGGUAUCCGCCCCCACGGGACCUGGGAACGGUCCCAACCCCUUCCGGAAGCCGCCGUUGGGGAUUCUCCCGAAAUGGGCCAAGCCCUGCCGUGGCACCGCCCCGUGGUGGAUAAAGGUCUUCGAUUCUUAAAACUUGUUUAUUGGGAAAAACAAUUUUUUUAGUAACUGUGCACAUCUUGACGGUACCUAAUCAGAAAGCCACGGCUAACUACGUG